rnacentral:lncRNA from 10 species
CGAUCUGAUCAAAUUCUGAGCGGACUCCUGGAAAGAGAGAGAGAGACAGAGUGCCACGGAGCCCUGGGAGGACAUGGCCUACCUCCCCAUCUCCUACCAGGGACACCUUUCACAUGUCCUCCCCCUUUCUCAGAUGCAUUUCUUUCUGAUCAUCACAGCUGCCAUGGGAGGUAGACACAGAAGGGUUAUUCCUAUUUGACAGAGGAGGGAAUUCGGCUCCUCAGAGAGGGCUUAUGAGGAGAAAGGUGGACACACCCAGGACCCUCCAUCCCAAUACCACAUCAGCCCCAGGAGCUCCCUGAGGUCACUAUCGCAGGCAGGAAACCCACAGCUUUGCUACUGAGAAGGGAAAUCUGCUCAGAAGACACUGAGAGCCUGCAGCAGGAGGAAAUGGGGCUGCACAAGCCUUGGAGGGUUGGCACUACUGGUCCCAAACUGUAAGAACCGUUGACACAUUUCAGGCAACCCCACACAUAUGUCCUGAAGAAAAAGCAGAAUUCCAUCCCCACAGGUCCAGUUCACCAGCUCCCUUAGGAAACUCUCUUCCUCCUUCUCCUUCUUUGUCUUCCCCCAUUUUAAAUUAAAAUAGGAAAAUUUGCAAGGAUACAUCAAAUCAUUGGAUCUGUGUUUUCAGAUCCUAGAAGAAACAUGCUGUCAUCUCUCUUAGGACUAGAUGUUGACCUUUCUAAAUUGAAAAGAAACUGAGGCCAGGUGCGGUGGCUCAUGCCUGUAAUCCCAGCACUUUGGGAGGUCAAGGUGGGCGGAUCGCCUGAGUUCAGGAGUUCGAGACCAGCCUGGCCAACAUGGUCAAAAUCCCAUCUCUACUAAAAAUACAACAAUCAGCCCGGCACGGUGGCGGCCGCCUGUAAUCUCAGCUACUCAGGAGUCUGAGGCAGUAGAAUCACUUGAACCCGAGAGGCAGAGGUUGCAGUGGGCUGAGAUUGCACCACUGUAUUCCAGCCUGGGCAACAGAGCGAGACUCUGUCUCAAAAAAAAAAAAAAAAAAGAAAGAAAGAAACUGAAAUACACAAUGAGAUACGAUUUCAUACCCACCAGAAUGGUGAGAAUUAAAAAGACUGAUAACACCAAGGUCUGGUGAGGAUACUGAACAGCUGCAGCAGAUGGAGGACGUGUAAAAUAUUGCAAUCCCUCUGAAAAAAAGGUCUGGCAGAAUUUUACAAAGGUGAACAUACAUGUACCCUAUGACCCAGUAAUUUCGCUGCUAGGUAUUUACCCAAAAGAACUGUGUAAGAAUGUUCAUAGCAGAUUUGCUCAUAAUAGACUGAAACUGGUCACAAUCCAGGUAUCAACAACAUGUGAAUGGAUAAACUGUGGUCUGUUCACUCAAUGGAAUACUAUUCUGCAAUAAAAAUGAACAACACUGCUGAUACAUGCAAUAAUAUGGAUGAGUCUCAAAAACAUUACGUUGGGUAAAAGAAGCCUUACACAAAAGACUACUGUGACGGAAAGGGUUAACUCAGCAGGACUAGGUUGCUCAAACCCUGUACAUUCCAAAAAAGGCCUGUCUUCAGGACUGGCUCCUGGGAGAUAACCUCUGAGCCACUGCAAUGUUCUACCUGAUAAGGGGUUUUGUAUGCUCAAGGCCUCGGGCCCUGCUCUCUCAGUCUGACCAGAUCAUUUACGCUAACAGCUUGGCUUACAGUGAACACCUGUUUCUGUAUCCCUGCGGCCCUGGCCCAGCUGUAUCAGUUUGGACUCUGUGGGGCUGGAGACUGAGUCGCUAAAGUCAGUCACACAGGUGCUAAUGUCUACACAAAAACCCUGGACACUGAGGCUCCAGUGAGCUUCCCUGGUGGCCAAUGCUUCCCAUGUGUUGUCACACAUCAUCGCUGGGAGAAUCAAGUGUGCCCAGUAGGACUCCAUUUCGAAGGGACAACUGGAAGUUCAUGCCUGUCUUCUCCUAGACUUUGCCCCAUGUGUCUCCUCUCUUCGCUGAAUUUAAUCUUUAUUCUUUCACAGAGCUAGAACUCCGCCACCUUGACAAUUCCCUGGCCGCUUGGUCCAUCCUAGAUCAGGAAAGAGAGCCUAGGAUUUUCCUCCCAGGAGCCAUCCAGAACCUGCUCUAAGGACCCUCUGGUGUGAGGCCAAGGAAUGGACAGAGCUGGGUCCUAACCUGCCCCCAGCCCCCAGCAGGAAGUCCCAUGAGGUUUUUACCCCCAACCCAUGAGUGUUGGUGGCCUAGCUCAGUCAGUGGUUUGGCCCAGUGAAAGAGGCUCUCUGCACAGCCCCCACCCUGGGAAAGGGGAGCUUUCACCCCCGUGAGGUCCUGGUGUCCGACAGGCCUACCGUCAUGGAUGAGCAGGUAUGGUCGCAGGCCUUGCUCCUUCAGGAUCUGGCAGGCAGCUGGUGCCGGGGCGGUCACCUCCUGCUCAGAGAUGUCAAAUCCCAGCCUCUGAAGCUGCCCCACCAGCUCUGCCCGGGACUUCUGCGACUCGUUGGUGCAGAACCUCACCUUCAGCCGGGAACGCUUCAGUCUGCGGCAGGGGAGACACAGGCCCGGGAAGUCAGCACGUGGAGUGUUGGGCCUCUGAAGGAGGUUGCGCGGUGAUUCUCGAAGGGCAUCCAGCAAAGCCCAGAGCAGACUAGGCCACUGCGAGCCCCUGAGGGGGUCCUGGCUGAUCCAGGAUGUGUUCAGGCUGGGAUUUCUGAGCUGAAGCAGAUCCCUUCUCAGAGGACCCCCAUACCACGCCCCGACAACUCUUUUCCAUCCUCACUGGACUUCAUACACCUGAGGCUCCCCGAGGUUCCCCACCUGACCCCCCUUUUCAUUGCCUCUCCCCUUGCCUGGAAUGCAACUCUGUCCCCCCGCCUCUCUACCUGUGCCACUUCUUUAUUUUUUUUAUUUCUUUAUUUUUGAGAUGGAGUCUCGCUCUUGUCGCCCAGGCUGGAGUGCAGUGGCAUGAUCUCAGCUCACUGCAACCUCCGCCUCCCAGAUUCAAGCGAUUCUCCUGCCUCAGCCUCCAGAGCAGCUGGGAUUACAGGCGCCUGCCAUCAUACCUGGCUAAUUUUUUGUAUUUUUAGUACAGAUGGGGUUUCACUAUGUUAGCAAGGCUGGUCUCGAACUCCUGACCUCAGGUGUCCCAAAGUGCUGGGAUUACAGGUGUGAGCCACCGUGCCUGGCCCACCUGCCUGGCCACUUCUACCCAGCCCCUGAGAUCCAUGCAAUACCUCCUCUCCACAAUCCUGCUCAGCCUGGCUAGGGGCCACCUCUGAAUGUCCACAGCUAUUUCUCUGUCCCUUUCCACCACAUUUGGCAUUUCCACUUGCAAGUGAGCUGCACACGUCCACGCCUUACUAACUCUGGAUCCAUACUUCCCAAAAAGUACAAAGGCAGAUGGCCCGAGACAGGUUUGUCUUCUCAUCACUGUCAAUGGAGAAAGGUUUGCCAAAGUCAUCAGGGACACCAACAUUCCGGGAUGGACAGACAGGACGUGGACCCUGCCCAAACCCAGCCUGGAGGUCUCAUGAACUUCAGGAUGCUGCCACUGGCCGGCGGCACCGAGCUUCUUCCCUCCUGACUUCAUAGGAGACCCGCGAAUCCAGGCUGCACCUGGGCAAGUUCUCAGAACGCACCAAAUGAAGUAACAUCCACCCUUCUGCAAACUGUCACUGAGCGCCUACUACGUGCCUGGCACUGGCCUGGUGCACAGAGCUGUAGUCGUGAGCAUGGAAAAGUUCCCUGAUCUCCAGGCCACCAUCCAGGUUGGAAUAGGAGGAGGUUGGAAUAGGAACAAGAGACCCUGCAAAGGAAGGGCAAUUUGUGACUGAGAAGAGAGAGACGCUAUGCAGAAUAUAAACAGGGUGAGCAGACAGAGGGUGACAAGGUGGGGUAGGAAGGUCAGGGGAGGCCUCCCUGGGGAAGCAAGAGAGAGGGCCAGGGUGUGGUGCUUCUGUGCAGGGAGAGGAGGCUGGAGGACCUGGCGCCCACCAGGAAGGGACCCGAGCGUGCUAGAGGAACCUACAGAGGCAGGCGGGGUGGGUCACUCAGACCUGGGGGGAGGGUGACAGGCAGGACCUGGCUCCCUCGCCAAGAUCACAAGAUCCCUUCCUGGACAAACCGGCCCCAACAAGGCAGCGGUCAUAUUUGACAUCUGCAUGGAGCUGCAGUGUGGACUCGUGGAAAAGACAUCAAGCUGCAAGCCCAAGGGCCGGGAGGCACUUUUAAGAAACCCUAGUAAAAUUAAUCAGCCAUGCUAAUUGCAUCUGGCACUGUUCUCAGACAGGUCCCGAAACACACACAUUCCACUGAUCUCCAAAGAUGCAGACAUCUUGGCUCUUCACCUAUUCUUUCAAGUUGUGUAUUUUUUAUAACCUAAGCAAUAGUGUUAAAUGAAUAAUUUAAAAUUUAUAGAAAACACACAUAGAGAGGAGGCAUGUGCUCAAGUUCUGUUUACAGAUGUGGCCCAAUGAAAUGAAUACACGCAGAUUCAACCCAGUUACUAGAACUACGGCUUGAAAUCAACUUCCAUCUGAGCAAGUGAGACCCAACUAAAAACUCAACUCAAACUGAACCCAGUGUGAAUGUAAUUUAUCCAUGUUAUGGGUGAGGGACUGAAUCCCAGAAAUGUCAAGGGCUUUCUGUUCCGCUCUUGAGCCUGAGACUUUGGAGAUGGAGCUGAUAUCUACACACAGUGGAGUCAGGAACAGGAAAUCAGCACUCCUGGAGCUCUCCCACAUAGUGGGGAAAGGACACAGCCCAGUGUGGGGUCUUAAAAGACUGGGGAUUCAGGCCCAACUGGAGACCUGAGGGACGGACAAGGAGAUGGCAGGAAAGGGCAGGCCAGGUGGUGGGAAGGGCCACCCACCUUGCGCACAGGCAGGUGUGCACUGGCCCCACCCUCUCGGAUAGAAAGAACUCGAGCAGCGUGGGGUAUGUGGAAGGUGGAGCCAGGAAAUGAGGCUGGAGUGGAGGACCACUGAGAGGGCAGAUAAGGCAGAGCAUGGUGGCUCAGUCCUGUAACCCCAGCACUUUGGGAGGUCGAGGUGGGUGGAUCACUUGAGGGCAGGAGUUUGAGAUCAGCCUGGUCAACAUGGAGAAAUCCUGUCUGUACUAAAAAUACCAAAAAAAAUUAGCCAGGUGUGGUGGCGGGCACCUGUAGUCCUAGCUACUCGGGAGGCUGAGGUAGAAGAAUCUCUUGAACCCAGGAGGUGGAGGUCACAGUGAGCCAAGAUCAAGCCACUGCCCUCCAGCCUGGGUCACACAGUGAGACUCUGUCGCAAAAAAAAAAAAAAAAAAAAAGGGGGCAGAUAAGCCAGGCACGAUUCCCCACCAGUGAGAGAGGGCCCCAAAUACAGCCAUGAGUGGUAGUGACAGCUACUACAAAAAGGUGGCAGGACUCAGGCCAAUGUCCCUUCCUCCCACCAUCCAGUGUGCCAUUGCCUCCGCCCUGUCUCUGUCAGUUUUUGUUUGUAACACUAACCAGUGUCUCCAAUCAUCUGAUUUACGCAAUUGUCUUUCUCACUGGCCUACGAGCUCCAGGAGUUCAGGGAUGAAUCUAUUCGGGUCUCCACGGCAUCCCCAGGGCUUCCCACAGGGCUUGGCACUCCACAAUCCCCCAUUAACAUUUGCUGAAUGACUGACUGACUGAGAAGUCUAAAUGACCUCACCCACUACUUCCCUGAGGGUGUCCUGAGCCUGCAGCCUCCUUAUAACCCCCAACAGAAACAGACAGGCUUCAGUGGUGAAAACACAUGUUUCUGCACUGAAAUGAGCCUCCAGACCCCCAGCCCUGGAGCUGACAGGUGCAAUUUAGGAAGAAAUCUGUAGAUCUGCUGACCACAUAGUGAAUGCAGACCAGAGGCUGGCAACGUCUUCUUCAAUAGGAUGGGUGAUUCAUUCCUUUCUUAUUAUUUGUCUUUCCUAAUCAGAGGUUUAUGAAUUAUCAAUUACACUUAGUGGUUAAUUGCCCUUCAUAAAGAUAGUUUUAUUUUUAAAUUAGGCAGUUAAUAUAUUGUAACUAAUAGCGUCACCUUGUACAUUAUGGAUAGAUCUCCAUUGAUUGGCACCUGGAACGUGUGAUUUGCACCCAAGUUAAUGGAGCAGUUGAGUGAAGAAGUGCAGGGGGUCCCCUGGGACUAAUUAUUGCUAAUGAAUGAUGAUGUGACCUUCUCAGAACAGUGAGCAAUCGAUGUGACAGUGAGAUGACAGUGCCUCACAUCUGUUAUUCCAAACACAACUUCAGAUGUGGAUGAAACAUGAGUAAGUCACAGAACUCACUUUGGGACUCUUAAGCCACUGGCCUCCUCUGAAAUAGCAAUAUAAGUUCAUUCAGCCUAUAUGCUCUUAUAAUAUCAAGUGCUAGUUUUAGAGACGAAAUCUAUCCCUGAAAAAUCGGAUGUGAAAUGCUGGGGUAAGUCCGCUCCCAUUGGGUUCUGUCCUUCUGCGCCCCGGACCACACCCCCCUUUGAGCCGUCACCAGAGACCCAUUCUGACCACCAGGGACCAGCCCCAGGUUGC